CCAUAUUUGGUCUAUCUAGGAUUGCUUAAACAAGAGAAACAGCAUCACUGUAAAGGACAGAAGUUUUAGACAUCUUAUAAGUGUGGUUUUCAACCUUGAAGGGGCCAAAUAAAGGAAGUUCUGAUUAUUUCUUCACCCCUUUUGAAUGUUGCGGUGCUCCUCGGCCAUGAAGAAUCUGCAGUUUGUUGUUCUUCAUGGGUGAGAGUCUUCACGACGUCAGCACUCUUUCUUCUCCAAAACCUUGAAUGAACAAAAGGAGGAUUGUGGUCAGUCGUCUAGCAAACGCGUCAUGCAGCCCCUGAGGAAAAGACGUCACAGAUUACAGGAGACUCGCCAGAUGCUCAGUUACACUGGGUUUGGAGUCCGUCAUUUUGAUGCUGAAAGCUGCUUCCUGUCCCUGCAGACACUGAGUGGCGGUGGCUCUUUGAAACAGCGGGCAGGAGCGCUGGGUCAGAACCGGGCCUGGAUUAGGGCCGUGUGGCCUAUCCUGUCGCCCCAGCACUGUCAUUUCAGUCACUUCCUCCACUUCCUGUUGACGCCACUUGGCACAUCUGUACAAUAAACACUGCCUUCCUGCCUCCCUGCAGCCCACGGUCCAGGAGAUUCAACAUCAGCUCUCUCUCGAGCAGUGCCCGCUGUCUAAACACUGGGCAGAGUCAUCUGGAGAAAGCCUGUGAAAUUCAACAUGCCCGGAGGAAUAUGCAAGCGCUUUAUAGUCAUCCUGACUGGUUAUUUUUGCAUCGGCCAGCCUUCCUGCCACACACACUUUAGAUAAGAGUGCUGAGAAUAAAGAUACUCACGCCUCAAUCUCAGCUGUCAUGCUAAACUCUUCAAAACACAGAAGAAUGUAUUAUUAAAACAACAUGUUUCUUCAGAACAAAUUGGAGAUUUUUCUUCUUGGCAGUAUAAAAUAUCACAGUUGAUGAAAAUGUUUAAUGCAGGCAUUUCAAGCAUGCACAUGUUUGCUUCAUUAUUAAUGAAGAAGAGAAUGUAGAAGAAUCUGACACAUCUGGAGGAAAACCUUCAAACUUAAGCUCUCACAAGUGCAAAAAGAAUUAUUCCACUUAAAGGUGGAUUUUUUUUGAGCAGCAAAUCGGCAUAUAGAAUGAUCUCUGAAGGAUCGUGUGACUGAUGACUGAAAUAAUGAUGCUGAAAAUUCAAGAAUAAAAUGCAUUUUAAAGUGUAUUCAAAUAGAAAACAGUUAAUUUAAACUGUAAUAUUAUUUCACAAUAUUACAGUUAUUAUUGUAUUUUUUUGACCAAAUAAACGCAGCCUUAUUGUCAAAAAUGUUAAACACCCUUCAGAAAAUGAUUUUCUUACUAAUAUUUAUGUUGUUUUCAAUUACAAUAAUUACGAAUUCUAACAAUUCUUAAAUCAUGAUGCAUUUACUUGAGAAGCAACCUAAGAUAUUAAGUUGUGUUGUCUGAAAUAAAUCAGCAAAAUUAAGUGAGUUUAUGCUUAAAACAAAUCAAUUUAAUUUUAAAGGGAAAACAAAAUUAUUUUUCUUACCCCACUAAAAGAUAUUUUUUUCUUGUUUUAUGCAUAAACUCACUCAGUUUAGAUUUUGUUAAUUAAUUAAUAUCUUAAGUACCUUGAUUUAACAAGGUUUAGAUAUUUGUACUGAAAAACAAGACAAAAAUCAUGUUUUGCAGCACAGUCUUACCAACUCAAACGUUUGAACUGUAAUGUUAAUG